GAUGAACGCUAGCUACAGGCCUAACACAUGCAAGUCGAGGGGAAACGGCAUUGAGUGCUUGCACUCUUUGGACGUCGACCGGCGCACGGGUGAGUAACGCGUAUCCAACCUUCCCAUUACUGUGGGAUAACCUGCCGAAAGGCAGACUAAUACCGCAUAGUCUUCGAUGACGGCAUCAGAUUUGAAGUAAAGAUUUAUCGGUAAUGGAUGGGGAUGCGUCUGAUUAGCUUGUUGGCGGGGUAACGGCCCACCAAGGCUACGAUCAGUAGGGGUUCUGAGAGGAAGGUCCCCCACAUUGGAACUGAGACACGGUCCAAACUCCUACGGGAGGCAGCAGUGAGGAAUAGUGGUCAAUGGACGGAAGUCUGAACCAGCCAAGUAGCGUGCAGGAUGACGGCCCUAUGGGUGGUAAACUGCUUUUGUAUGGGGAUAAAGUUAGGGACGUGUCCCUAUUUGCAGGUACCAUACGAAUAAGGACCGGCUAAUUCCGUG
rnacentral:rRNA from 1 species